UGAUUGCAUGUUGUUAUCUCUUUAUCUGUUCAUAUAAAUUAUUUAAUUGAAAUAAAUUGGACUGCGUUGCACUCGAUAUGGUUCAACAAGAACCUGUCUUCAUAUGCUAUUCUAUUUUUUUCUCAUUCACCUAGUAAAAAAUAAAAUCCGAGAAGAAACAAAAAACUAAUAGGAUAAUAGGAGGGGACUACAUUUUAACUUUAUAUAAUAUUAUAUACUAAACUUGCCAUUAUUAGCUGCUUUUCUUAUAUUCUCUUUGUAAUCCACCCUGAAAUAAUGAAUCUGAAUAGUUUCUGAAUACACAUUUGAUUUUAAUUCUAGGUUUGAAACAACACAAUCAAUAAUAAGACAUCUCUUUCUUCUUUUUAGCAUUUAGAAUAAUAUUAUACUUUCAUCACUUUAUCCAUUUUGAAACACAAAACGCAUGUAAAGGUAUUCACGGAAACUGUGAGCGGAAAUUAUGAGUAGUCCUUGCGCAUGCAAAAAUCAUGAUACGCAUAUCCUGUGUCUAAUUCUUCAUGUAGCAAUACAUGUUGUUUACCUUCAG
rnacentral:lncRNA from 1 species